CCCAUCCCCCUGUUCUCCAGGGAGAGAAGAGGGCCUAGAGGUUGAAGCCUCCAAAAGGUUGUGCUUCCAGACUGGAGGAGAAGGUGUGGCCAGAGAGAGACUUCUGAGAAUUGGGAAGGAAACUUGAGGGGGCACAAGCCUGAUGCUUCUAUGGAGGUGUCGCACAUUUUGUUGGCCUUUAUGAAAUUCAUCAGUUAUGGGCACUGUGGCUGAUGACACCCACGAAUAGGUGGCCCUGCACCUAGGAGGACGGGUUGGACCCUGGAAGGAGCUACGUGAGACGAAGCCCCGGUCGCCGAGGAUGGGUUCAAGUCCAAGCUUUGUAUCUAACCUAGGUGACAAAGGCGGGCCCUCUUGUCCCCCUCUUGUUUGCCAGCACCACCACCAAUGCUGUUUUUCUCUGCUUUUAGUAGAAAGAGAUAAAUAAUUGGGCAAACACAAUAAAGUGAUAACACUUAUGAAAGACUUAUAAUAGGUUGCCAUGGGAACAAAUAGAAGGGGCAGAAAGUUCAGGGAAGCCAUUUUUUUUUUCUUAGUGAAAAUAUAGAGAACAGUCAUGCUGCAGCAUUCCUAUUUUUUAUAGGCUUUAUAUAGAGAAUCAAAUAACAUCAAAAACUUUCAUACUUUAUGGGACAGCAGAAACAACACAGGAUUGGAAUCAGAUUUGGUUUUAGAUUCCAAUUUGUUAUGGGAAAACUGCUUAACCUGUGUGGACCUCAGUC